rnacentral:rRNA from 1 species
AGUGAACGCUGGCGGUAGGCCUAACACAUGCAAGUCGAACGGCAGCACAGAGAAGCUUGCUCCUUGGGUGGCGAGUGGCGGACGGGUGAGGAAUACAUCGGAAUCUACUCUGUCGUGGGGGAUAACGUAGGGAAACUUACGCUAAUACCGCAUACGACCUACGGGUGAAAGCAGGGGAUCUUCGGACCUUGCGCGAUUGAAUGAGCCGAUGUCGGAUUAGCUAGUUGGCGGGGUAAAGGCCCACCAAGGCGACGAUCCGUAGCUGGUCUGAGAGGAUGAUCAGCCACACUGGAACGGAGACACGGUCCAGACUCCUACGGGAGGCAGCAGUGUGGAAUAUUGGACAACGGGCGCAAGCCUGAUCCAGCCAUACCGCGUGGGUGAAGAAGGCCUUCGGGUUGUAAAGCCCUUUUGUUGGGAAAGAAAUCCAUCUGGUUAAUACCCGGGUGGGAUGACGGUACCCAAAGAAUAAGCACCGGCUAACUUCGUGCCAGCCGCCGCGGUAA